rnacentral:rRNA from 1 species
GGCUCAGGACGAACGCUGGCGGCGUGCUUCAUACAUGCAAGUCGAACGAGAAAUUCACUUCGGUGAGUGGAAAGUGGCGGACGGGUGAGUAAUGUGUAGAGAAUCUGCCCUGGAGAGGGGGACAACAGAGGGAAACUUCUGCUAAUACCCCAUAUGCGCGUAGUUGAGAUACUAUUCGUGAAAGAUUUAUCGCUUCAGGAUGAGUCUGCAUCUGAUUAGCUAGUUGGGGGUGUAAUGGACCACCAAGGCGACGAUCAGUAGCUGGUUUGAGAGGAUGAUCAGCCACAAUGGGACUGAGACACGGCCCAUACUCCUACGGGAGGCAGCAGUAGGGAAUUUUGCGCAAUGGGCGAAAGCCUGACGCAGCAACGCCGCGUGAUCGCAGACGGCCUUCGGGUUGUAAAGAUCUGUCAGUAGGGACGAACAAUGACUGUACCUACAGAGGAAGCACCGGCUAACUCCGUGCCAGCCGCCGC